rfam:Tribolium castaneum strain Georgia GA2 linkage group LGX, whole genome shotgun sequence.
UAACUGGGGCCGGUUUCGAGGCGUGGUGGGCGGUAAUAUUAGUAAAAAUAAUACUAUCCCCGACUACGCCUCGGAAUUGGUUUUGGUGU